AUUGAACGCUGGCGGCAUGCUUUACACAUGCAAGUCGAACGGCAGCGCGGGCUUCGGCCUGGCGGCGAGUGGCGAACGGGUGAGUAAUACAUCGGAACGUGCCCAGUAGUGGGGGAUAGCUCGGCGAAAGCCGGAUUAAUACCGCAUACGACCUGAGGGUGAAAGCGGGGGAUCUUCGGACCUCGCGCUAUUGGAGCGGCCGAUGGCAGAUUAGCUAGUUGGUGGGGUAAAGGCCUACCAAGGCGACGAUCUGUAGCUGGUCUGAGAGGAGGACCAGCCACACGGGAAGGGGACACGGGACCAGCCCCCGAGGGGAGGGCAGGGGGGGGAUGUUUGGACAGAGGGCGAAGGCCUGGACCAACGAGGCGGGGGGGGGGAGGAGGUCCUGGGGGUUGUAAAGCACUUUUGGCGGGAACGAAAAGAACCGUCCCAAUACCACGGUUGGAGACGGGAACCCGCGAAAAAGCCCCCGCCAAAUUAGGU
rnacentral:rRNA from 1 species